rnacentral:tRNA from 2 species
GGGCCCGUAGCUCAGCUAGGUAGAGCAUCUGCCUUUUAAGCAGGUGGCCCGGGGUUCGAAUCCCCGCGGGCCCG